rnacentral:rRNA from 1 species
UACGGAGGGAGCGAGCGUUGUCCGAAGUUACUGGGCGUAAAGCGCGCGUAGGCGGGGAAUUAAGUGAGAAGUGAAAGGCUGGGGCUCAACCUCAUGCAGUGCUUCUCAUACUGGUUCUCUUGAGGGCGGUAGGGAGAAGUGGAAUGGCUGGUGUAGCGGUGAAAUGCAUAGAUAUCAGGAGGAACACCAGCGGCGAAGGCGGCACUCUGGGCUGGUACUGACGCUGAGGAGCGAAAGCGUGGGGAGCGAACAGG